GUAUUAUUUCAUAAAGAUCACAUUUAUUCAGUCAAUUUCAGAAGAUAUUAUCAAACUACAAGUUGGGACAAAAUUGGUUGUGCUGUGAGUACAUAAAAGUACUAGCAUUCAAUAAUGAUCCUUCCGCAGGUUCACCUACGGAAA
rnacentral:misc_RNA from 1 species